rnacentral:misc_RNA from 1 species
GCGUUUUGAGCAGCGCGCCGUUGUUGAGAAGGGGUUUGGUUUGGUUUGGGCUUGUAGCGUUCUCGUUCUGUUGGCGUGUUUUCGUUCUCGUUCUCGUUUGGCAGCGUUCUCGUUUGCAGACCCAAAACAACAAAACCAAACACUCUGAAACUCUUUUGCUUUGCUUUGCUUUGAUUCGACUAGACUAAACUAAAA